rnacentral:tRNA from 3 species
CAAAGAAUAGUUUAAUGUGAGAAUCCUAGCUUUGGGAGUUAGGGGUAGAAGUUAAAAUCUUCUUUCUUUGA